GUCAGAUUGAACGCUGGCGGCAGGCUUAACACAUGCAAGUCGAACGGUAGCAGGAGAAAGCUUGCUUCUUGCUGACGAGUGGCGGACGGGUGAGUAAUGCUUGGGAAUCUGGCUUAUGGAGGGGGAUAACUACUGGAAACGGUAGCUAAUACCGCGUAAUCUCGGAAGAGUAAAGAGUGGGACCGCAAGGCCACUUGCCAUAAGAUGAGCCCAAGUGGGAUUAGGUAGUUGGUGGGGUAAAGGCCUACCAAGCCGACGAUCUCUAGCUGGUCUGAGAGGAUGGCCAGCCACACUGGAACUGAGACACGGUCCAGACUCCUACGGGAGGCAGCAGUGGGGAAUAUUGCACAAUGGGGGGAACCCUGAUGCAGCCAUGCCGCGUGAAAUGAAGAAGGCCUUCGGGUUGUAAAGUUCUUUCGGUGAUGAGGAAGGUAUCAAAUUUAAUAGAUUUGGUAAUUGACGUUAGUCACAGAAGAAGCACCGGCUAACUCCGUGCCAGCCGCAGC
rnacentral:rRNA from 1 species